AAGUGGCGGCGCUGCCCGGGGCGGGGAGGGGGACUGCGCGGUCCCUGACCCCGUCACCACGGGCCUGCACUCCGGGCCCGGGCUCGUCUCUCCCAUCGGCUUAACCAUCUUUUGGAGGUGGGAGAUGUGUGAUGGAGACAGAAGAGAGGUUCUCACUAAGUUGGCGACGUCAGGGUUAACUAGGAGUGAAUUGGGGCGCCGUUCCGUAAGGACGGGAUCCCCUCUCCCUCCGACCAUCCUUAGGUCCUAUUCGCUGAGGUCUCAGAUUCUGGGAGGUCCCGGGAGGCCUAGAAAUGGGAGAUGUCAGAUUGGGGGGUCCUGGGCCCCAAAGCCUAAAUCUUGCCCUCCCUACCCUAGAGCUAAGUGACCAUGCCCAGACUUCAUUUGACUGCAUGGACAAAGGAAAGUGCCCCCAAAAGAGACCAUCUCCAGAAGCAGAGGCUCUGGCUGUAAACGGUGCCAGUGGCCGGCCUGGCAGGGGCCAGCUCUUCCUAGAGGCUCAGGGGCUCCUCCAGGAGCCAUCUCACAGUCAGUCUGCAGCCUACACCAAGGCUGUGCCCUUCCACACCUCUUCCUUUCCUCUUCCCACCACCCACUCACUCACUAGUCUUUGCCCUUCUUCCUUCCUCUCCGAAGCAGGCUCCUUUCCAUUAGUGAGAGCUGCAAUUAAUGCAGUCAUCUUCAUAAAGCAAACACAUAACCCCGUGCCCAGAAUCCGACCUGCGACCAUCUCACCAGCAAUGACUGCUCUCCUGAAACACUGAGAAGGGAAUUAACUUGGUUCUAAUUAGGAAUCCCCCAGCUGUGUUUGAAGUCUGCAAGUCCAAACAGCAGACGUGGCUGAGGAUGGCGGAAUCCAACCACCCUCCAUCUCCAUCUCCAGCGCUCUUCCAUUAUUGCCCGCUGUCUGCCACAUCAAACAGAACAAGACUGCUACAUGGAUUUCUUUCCCUUUCGUCUCUUCCUUUCACUCCAGGGCCCCCAGUUUUCUGAGUAACUUAAAUCAUUACUGAAAGAUGUCUAGGUUCACAGACCAAACCCUUUCAAAGCAAGGUGUGGGCUCCCAAAAGUUGAGCUCAGAAGAGCACAGAAAAAAACUUUCCCAGUCCCAAGAUUUAGCCAAUCACACAUUCAGGGAAACAAUCCACUACUUUUCGAGGUCUAACCUUCCUUCCCUGACACCUCCUUGGGGCCUGGCUGGCCCAGGAUCCCAUUUCUGAAUUCUCUUUGGGCCCCAAGACUUCAGUAUGACCUUCACUGUGCUACAGGCAGAUCCCGUCUCCUCAGUAGACCAUCUGUUCUAUCUUACCCAUCAGGCCGGUCACAGUGGCUCACACCUAUAAUCUCAGCACUUUGGGAGGCCGAGG